rfam:Salmo salar isolate Sally breed double haploid chromosome ssa12, whole genome shotgun sequence.
UGCAUUCACUACUGUAAGUCGCUCUGGAUAAGAGUAUCUGCUGAAAUGACUAAAA